UACGGAGGGUGCGAGCGUUGUCCGGAAUCAUUGGGCGUAAAGGGCGCUUAGGUGGCGGGACAAGCGUGCGGUGAAAGCUCGGGGCUCAACCCCGAGUCGGCCGUGCGAACUGUUUUGCUUGAGCACUGUAGAGGCAGGCGGAAUUCCGGGUGUAGCGGUGGAAUGCGUAGAGAUCCGGAAGAACACCGGUGGCGAAGGCGGCCUGCUGGGCAGUAGCUGACACUGAGGCGCGACAGCGUGGGGGGCAAACAGG
rnacentral:rRNA from 1 species